rnacentral:lncRNA from 1 species
UGAUCGAUACAGGCCAGUGCAGAAAGUAGAAGAUUCCAGCUUGAACGAGAAAAUUGAUGCUCUCACCUCUUUAGUUAGAGGACUUGCUGUCUCUAAAACUCAACACGUUCAAUGUGGAAUUUGCUUUGAAAAUAAUCAUCAUACUGAUGCCUGUCCAUCUUUGCAGGAUAAUAAUACUGAGCAAGCGUGCAUGGGAUCCGCUGACGAGCAAGAGAUGA